rnacentral:rRNA from 1 species
CGCAAGCCUGACGGAGCAACACCGCGCGAGGGAUGAAGGCCUCUGGGCUGUAAACCUCUUUUAUCAAGGAAGAAGAACUGACGGUACUUGAUGAAUAAGCCACGGCUAAUUCCGUGCCAGCAGCCGCGGUAAUACGGGAGUGGCAAGCGUUAUCCGGAAUUAUUGGGCGUAAAGCGUCCGCAGGCGGUUUUACAAGUCUGUCGUUAAAGCGUGGAGCUCAACUCCAUUUCAGCGAUGGAAACUGUAAGACUCGAGUGUGGUAGGGGCAGAGGGAAUUCCCGGUGUAGCGGUGAAAUGCGUAGAUAUCGGGAAGAACACCAGUGGCGAAAGCGCUCUGCUGGGCCAUAACUGACGCUCAUGGACGAAAGCCAGGGGAGCGAAAG